CAGUUAUUUCAACAUCAUUUGUGUAACAGACUAUCCUUUCUCCAUUGAAUUGUUUUUACACUUUUGUCAAAAAUUAAUUUACUGCAUACAUGUAGUUCUAUUUCUGGACUCUGUCUUCAUUAAUCUAUGUGUCUGUUCUUUCACCAGUACCCUGUCUUGAUUAGGUUUAUAAUAAGCUUUGAAAUCAGAUAGUAUGAGUUCUUUAAGUGGCUUUUCUCUUUCAAAAUUGUUUUGGCAAUUCUACUUUCUUUGCUUUU
rnacentral:lncRNA from 10 species